UGUGAAGUCACCAGCAUUGGGCUUCCAGGG
rnacentral:piRNA from 1 species